rnacentral:rRNA from 1 species
UACGAAGGGUGCAAGCGUUACUCGGAAUUACUGGGCGUAAAGCGUGCGCAGGCGGUUGUGUAAGACAGAUGUGAAAUCCCCGGGCUCAACCUGGGAACUGCAUUUGUGACUGCAUAGCUGGAGUGCGGCAGAGGGGGAUGGAAUUCCGCGUGUAGCAGUGAAAUGCGUAGAUAUGCGGAGGAACACCGAUGGCGAAGGCAAUCCCCUGGGCCUGCACUGACGCUCAUGCACGAAAGCGUGGGGAGCAAACAGG